UACGUAGGGGCCUAGCGUUGUCCGGAAUUAUUGGGCGUAAAGAGCUCGUAGGCGGUUCGGCAAGUCGGAUGUGAAAUCUCCACGCUUAACGUGGAGGGGCCAUUCGAAACUGCAGUGACUCGAGUCCGGUAGGGGAGUGUGGAAUUCCCGGUGUAGCGGUGAAAUGCGCAGAUAUCGGGAGGAACACCAGUAGCGAAGGCGGCACUCUGGGCCGGAACUGACGCUGAGGAGCGAAAGCGUGGGGAGCGAACAGG
rnacentral:rRNA from 1 species